rnacentral:rRNA from 1 species
UAGGGAAUCUUCGGCAAUGGGGGGAACCCUGACCGAGCAACGCCGCGUGAGUGAAGAAGGUUUUCGGAUCGUAAAGCUCUGUUGUUAAGGAAGAACGAGUGUGAGAAUGGAAAGUUCAUACUGUGACGGUACUUAACCAGAAAGGGACGGCUAACUACGUGCCAGCAGCCGCGGUAAUACGUAGGUCCCGAGCGUUGUCCGGAUUUAUUGGGCGUAAAGCGAGCGCAGGCGGUUAGAUUAGUCUGAAGUUAAAGGCAGUGGCUCAACCAUUGUAGGUUUUGGCAACUGUUUAACUUGAGUGCAGAAGGGGAGAGUGGAAUUCCAUGUGUAGCGGUGAAAUGCGGAGAUAUAUGGAGGAACACCGGUGGCGAAAGCGGCUCUCUGGUCUGUAACUGACGCUGAGGCUCGAAAGCGUGGGGAGCGAACAGG